AUAUUCAUAUCCAUAUCUAUAUCCAUCAAAGAAAAAUGGAUAUGGAUAUACAUAGACAAUUACUCGAUCCGUAUCCGAAAGUCGGAUUUUAUUUGUAAUCUUGUUUACUUUUAUAUAACAUUCAUGAACUUUUAAAGAAAAUAUGUAACCAUAUUAACAUACCAUAAACUUGAAAGUACACAAUCAAGCCAAAUGUAUUAUUUUCAUAGUAACAUAUAAUUUUUUAUAUUUUAAAAUUUAUAAUUCACACAUAAAUCUUUUACAGUAAAGUAUUCAUGAAGUAGUGCUAUUUAACAUAAAACAAGAAUCAUUCACAAUCAAAUGUUUGAUCCUGAUCCUUUUAAAAAAUGUAGGACCAAUCAUAUCAAACAUAAUUCAUAAUUUCAUACUUCGUAUAAUUUAAAAUUGAUCAGUAUUUUGGAGUAAGGUUUGUGCCAAAGUUUGUCCAAAGAUUAUAUGGUUCAGUUGGAAAAACCAGCUAUAUCUAUCCAAAAUCAUUUAAGAAGAUAAAUUGAUUUGUAUUCAACCAUUUAAAAAUCUAAACACUAAAUAAGAAACCUUAAGAUACUAAAA
rnacentral:lncRNA from 1 species